rnacentral:misc_RNA from 1 species
AAGUCGUAACAAGGUCUCCGUAGGUGAACCUGCGGAGGGAUCAUUAACACGUUUCCAACGUUACCAACCAAACGCGAACUUUAAUAAAAUUACCCCGACCUGAAAGAAAAGUAAUCGUUCAAAUUCUAUUAGUGAUGGGCUUUUUUUUCUUUUGCAAAAAGGAAAAAGAAGCGAUGGAAAUUGGACUUACAUAGCUCGACUAUGAAGAUUAUUUUUCUCUCAGGGUUUAUCAAUUCUUUUCAUCACUGGAAUAACAAAACAAAACCCCUUUCACCCCCUAUGAUAAUUGACUGAAAUACCAUUUGACUGGGAGAAAUCCUGUUAAAUGAUUAAACAAAAAACUUAAAAGCACAACUCUUAGCAACGGAUAUCUAGGUUCUC